UACGUAGGUGGCAAGCGUUGUUCGGAUUUACUGGGCGUAAAGGGCGCGUAGGCGGCAGAUCAAGUCAGCUGUGAAAUCUCCGAGCUUAACUCGGAACUGUCAGCUGAUACUGUUUUGCUAGAGUGCGGAAGGGGCAAUCGGAAUUCUUGGUGUAGCGGUGAAAUGCGUAGAUAUCAUUUGGAACGCCAAUGGUGAAAACAGCUCGCUGGGGGGUGCACUGACACUGAGACACGAAAGCCAGGGGAGCGAACGGG
rnacentral:rRNA from 1 species